UUCUGAUCUGGAGUAAUUUCACACCAUCCUUCCUCAACAGCAUCGUCAUCCCACCUGAACGAGCCGCUGGGUUUCUGAGUAUGCAGACAGCUACAGCAUCUUCCUGAAGAAGCUGGACUGGUCCUCCCCCAUCUCUGCACAGUGGCUGCCCUUUGGCAAGGACGUGCGAUGGACGCCGCGAUGGAAAUUGGUCGGUAACUGAGCAGUGCCAAGGUGGCUGAGCUCUUUGGCCCUCCAAGCUGCCUGUGUGAUACUGCUCAUCAGAAACCCUGAAAGCCUUAGAAACCUCAAUGCUAUCAAACCCACCACUGUCUGUCAGAUGUGAAAUGUUUCGCAAAGACAUCUUUAAGUGCAAAUUAUGAUUAAAAUCUCCCAAG
rnacentral:lncRNA from 1 species